rnacentral:rRNA from 1 species
CUAAGAAUCUUCCGCAAUGGACGAAAGUCUGACGGAGCGACGUCGCGUGGGUGAUGAAGGCGGAAACGUUGUAAAGCCCUUUUAUGGAUGAGGAAUAAGCUUUGGAGGGAAUGCCAGAGUGAUGACGGUAAUCCAUGAAUAAGCCCCGGCUAAUUACGUGCCAGCAGCCGCGGUAACACGUAUGGGGCGAGCGUUGUUCGGAAUUAUUGGGCGUAAAGGGUAUGCAGGCGGUUUGAUAAGUCUGAUGUGUAAGACCUUGGCUUAACCAAGGGAGCGCGUUGGAAACUGUUGAGCUAGAGUACAGGAAGGGGAGUUGGAAUUCCAGGUGUAGGGGUGAAAUCUGUAGAUAUCUGGAAGAACAUCAGUGGCGAAGGCGAACUCCUGGCCAUGUACUGACGCU